rnacentral:lncRNA from 1 species
CAAUUAUUUUGUUAGGUAAUCAUUGAGUGCCCCGUGGCAGUCGUUCGCUCAUUCGUUCACCCAGCGAACAUUCACUGAGGGCCUUGCUUAGCCCGCGCGCCGUGCUGGGAGUUGGGGUGAUGGCAGCGAACAAGGCAAGCACAGCCCAGCUCCCUGUCUAGCUGGAAGUCACUGCCUCACCAAAUCAGCGAUGCAGUGUAGCCCCUGAAAUGCGUGGUCCUAAAGGGAGCAGGAUGGCUUCCUAGGAGCUGUGCCAAAGCUUAGCCAUCCAAACAGGAGUUCCCGCUUCAGAGCACUCGUUUCAGAGGCAUCAAUCUUAGGAGUUUAUUCUUAAAAUAUUUUUGCAACAGUUCUUUGGGACUAGCCACCACGGAGACUAUUAAAAGAAUUUUCUUUAGUCUCUGAAGGCUCUUCCAAAAGAGGAGUUCUAAAACCCUUUUGGGCAAUAAGUUCUUUGCAACACAUACCUAGCAUUCUUGAGGGGAAAGAGCUGUUAUUUGUCAUGUCUAUGCUCUGUACUACACCACUUUUAUGAUUUCUUCAGCUUAGGUCCCUUAAAGAUUUUAAUGCAGUGGUUUUCAACGGGGAGGCACUUUUGCCCCGCCAGGGGAUAUUCGGCAAGGCUGGAGACAUUUUUGGUUGUCACAACUUGAGCGGAGGGUGCUACUGGUGUCUCGGGGCUAGAGGCCAGGAUGCUGCUAACAUCCUACAGCGCACGGGACAGCCCCCACAGCACAGAGUUAUCCUGCCUCAAAUGUUGACGGUGCUCAGGUUGAGAAGCUCUGGUUUCAAUGGGAUGUUUGUUAAAAAAGUCGGUCUCAGGACUCUGCCCGCUACAAUUUCCCAGAAGGUGCCCCGGGAAGCGGGAACACUGAAGGGUCCAUUUGUGAAAGGGCCUCUGUUGGUGCCUCAGAGGCUCACUUGUUAAGAAGAUGUUCAGAGCAGGGCCUUGGCGAUCCGCAGGUCUGGGUGGACAUCUUGCUCUUGUACUUGCUAGCCAGGUGAGUGUGGGUGAUUUAUUUAACCUCACCGAGCCUCAGUUUCCCCAUCUGUAGUAGAGGAGUAAUAAUGCCUAUUUCCUAGGGUUUCUGUAGAUAUCCCCUGAGGUCAUGCACGGCAUGAGCUUAGUUCAGUCAGUGCUCCACAGGGAGGGGCUAGUACGGACUGUGACCUGAGAAUGAGUGUUUGUGCCUCACAAUGACCCUGAAUAUCAGCAAAUAUUUACUGAAGACCCGCGAAGCACCAAGCCCAUUGUUCGACUGUGGGGUCUCUGCACACAAGAAGUAGAUAGUCUGGAGUAAGAGGAAGAUAAAAGACACAUCUUCAUGAAGAGGAAACCAGCACCAUAUGACUGCAUUUGACAUGCUGCAAAAAAAAAAAAAGUCAACAUGGAGACCAUCUUUGAAGUGGAGGAUGUGAAGUACGAGCAACAGGGAUGGGAUCUGGGACGGCUGCUGACAGUGAGACACUUCUAAAGAUACACCUGGGGGACGUGUGAGAGAACCGCCUGCCUAUGGGGCCAGGGACUCCAAACCACACCCGGCUGCCUCCAGGACAGAGGAGAUCAAGAUCUCAGUUUUCAGGACACCUACUGGAAAGCUCUGGGUCGAGCUGCAGAAGGCAGAGUGCUGAACAACCUAGCAGAGUCAGCAUCUGAGGAGUACUUAAAAGAAAAUCACACUUUGGAGUGUGCUUCUGGAAUUUCUGGCUUAUUGGACAUCAACCCCUGUGAUCAGGCUACC